rnacentral:rRNA from 1 species
CCCUUAGAUGUCCGGGGCUGCACGCGCGCUACACUGAAGGAAUCAGCGUGCUAAAACCAUUGUCGAAAGGCAUUGGUAAACCCAUUAAAAUCCUACGUGAUUGGGAUCGGGAAUUGCAAUUAUUUCCCUUGAACGAGGAAUUCCCAGUAAGUGUGGGUCAUAAGCUCGCGUUGAUUACGUCCCUGCCCUUUGUACACACCGCCCGUCGCUGCCCGGGACUGAGCCGUUUCGAGAAAAGCGGGGACUGCUGCUGUCGGGGCUUUCGGGCCUUGGCUUCGGUGGAAACCGCUUUAAUCGCAGUGGCUUGAACCGGGAAAAAGUCGUANCA